AUUGAACGCUGGCGGCAGGCCUAACACAUGCAAGUCGAACGGUAACAGAAAGCAGCUUGCUGCUUUUCUGACGAGUGGCGGACGGGUGAGUAAUGUCUGGGAAACUGCCUGAUGGAGGGGGAUAACUACUGGAAACGGUAGCUACUACCGCAUAACGUCGCAAGACCAAGAGGGGGACCUUCGGGCCUCUUGCCAUCGGAUGUGCCCAGAUGGGUUUAGCUAGUAGGUGGGGUAACGGCUCACCUAGGCGACGAUCCCUAGCUGGUCUGAGAGGAUGACCAGCCACACUGGAACUGAGACACGGUCCAGACUCCUACGGGAGGCAGCAGUGGGGAAUAUUGCACAAUGGGCGCAAGCCUGAUGCAGCCAUGCCGCGUGUAUGAAGAAGGCCUUCGGGUUGUAAAGUACUUUCAGCGGGGAGGAAGGGAGUAAAGUUAAUACCUUUGCUCAUUGACGUUACCCGCAGAAGAAGCACCGGCUAACUCCGUG
rnacentral:rRNA from 1 species